CAACAUUUUCAGCUCCAGAGAGAAACCCCUAUUAAGCAAGAGAAUAUUAAAAAAAGAGAUUGCAUUUAGAGAGAGAGAGAGAGAGAGAGAGAGAGAGAGAGAGUAGGCAGCAGAGCAAUUGGAAAAGCCCCCAGAGCGUCUCUUUGUUGGUUUUAGCUGGGUCCCGGCGCUCAUGCCCCGUUCUGAAGCCCAGAUCUAUUCAGUCUGCUCAUCAAGGCAGAAUACUCAACAGGAAGGAAGGAAGCGGCCCAUUCUUUAUACGCCCAUUGUCUGACCACCGGGCUUAAGCAAUCAAACAGCAAUGUGCCGAGAGAAAGAGAGAGAGCGAGAGAGCGAGCAGGAUGAGGUGCUCGGUGGGGGCAGGGAACAAGAGAGCCCAUGUCUGUGUUCCAUCCUGAAGUUUUUAUCUGUUUCUCUGACAGUCAGAGGCUGCACGAUUUCUUCACGGUCACAAUCUGUAUGCAUUUUGAUUCUGAUUUUUGCAACUUGAUUCUGAUUAAAAACAACGCUGGCUUUGUGCACAAAUAAAUAAUUGUGUUCUUUAUUUGAACUUUAGCAUGAAAA